ensembl:lncRNA
CAGAAAGCAACUUUAGAAAGCAAAGCAGCAGUCAGCUGGCAGCCAGGACAGCAGGGAAGGAAGGGAGCGGCCAUUGGGCUCAGCCCAAGGACUCUUCUUUAAUGGCUCCCUUUCUGGGUUUUCAUUGUGCUAACCCAGAUAGGGACCAUCUUCUCAGCACAGUGGGCUUCUCUUGCCACGUGUUUCUCUCAGACAAGAGGAAUUCUCCAAGAGGCUCCUCCAUAGCGGGAAGCCCUGGCUGCAGCCAGCCUUCCAGGAACAGAGGCCAGAUAUGCCUGAGCUACACCCGGAUCUGGACCUGGCACACAAGUCACAGAUAUAGUUAAGUACGAUCAGCCCUCCGUAUUCAGAGGUCCUCUACUCAUAGACUCAAACAAACCCAGAUACAGGAUGCCUCGGAUUGCGUCUGUGUUAAAUCCACACACCUUUUCUAGCCAUUCACAAACAACACAGCACACAACUUGGCCAGUGCUCCAAUUGGUAACAAACAUUUCAGCAUUUUGGAAGCCAGUGUGGUGUACACAAAGUUGUCGUACCAGCCAGCCCAGGAGUGAUUUAAGGAUACUUUUCCUCUUUGUGCUAACUCCUGGCCACGUGAAAAUCAACUGUCACCCCGACAACUAAAGUCCAAGCUUCUGUCAGGGACUCUGACUGGUAGGGGUGGUCAUCAGCUGUGGCCACAGCAGACUCAGGUGGUCACGUGUGGAGGGGAAUACUUGCCAUGGGUGGUGGCAAUUUUCCAAGCCACCGUCCAGGUGGGGCGGCAGCUGGUAUCCAGUGGUGAUGGCAGACUUUCGGCGGUGUCCAAAGUAGACUUUUCCAGAGCAGGAUUUGAGACCAGUUCUUCCGUCUCCUUGUUGAUUUGAUGAGCUAAUCAAUCCCCCUCCAUUAACUUCCUUUCUGCCAGCUGUACUACAGCGAAGGACCACACCAAACGUUCACCUCUGACAAUCAGGUUGGUUGCUGAGUUACAUCCAAGGAUGGGACCAUCCCCCUGCAGUCCC